GUGGGGAAUAUUGGGCAAUGGGCGCAAGCCUGACCCAGCAACGCCGCGUGAGGGAAGAAGGCUUUCGGGUUGUAAACCUCUGUCCUUGGUGACGAAAAAAAUGACGGUAGCCAAGGAGGAAGCCCCGGCUAACUACGUGCCAGCAGCCGCGGUAAUACGUAGGGGGCGAGCGUUGUCCGGAAUUACUGGGCGUAAAGGGUGCGUAGGUGGCCUUUUAAGUUGGAUGUGAAAUACCCGGGCUUAACUUGGGGGGUGCAUCCAAAACUGGGAGGCUAGAGUGCAGGAGAGGAAAGCGGAAUUCCUAGUGUAGCGGUGAAAUGCGUAGAUAUUAGGAGGAACACCAGUGGCGAAGGCGACUUUCUGGACUGUAACUGACACUGAGGCACGAAAGCGUGGGGAGCAAACAGGAUUAGAUACCCUUGUAGUCC
rnacentral:rRNA from 1 species